AGAACGAACGCUGGCGGCAUGCCUAACACAUGCAAGUCGAACGCUUCACCGGUUUCGGCCGGUGGGGAGUGGCGCACGGGUGAGUAGCGCGUGGGAACCUGCCCUGUUGUGGGGGAUAACCGAGGGAAACUUCGGCUAAUACCGCAUAAGCCGGUUGUCUUGAAAGGGAUGGCCGGGAAAGAUUUAUCGCGACAGGAGGGGCCCGCGUCGGAUUAGCUGGUUGGUGGGGUAACGGCUCACCAAGGCGAUGAUCCGUAGCUGGUCUGAGAGGAUGAUCAGCCACACUGGGACUGAGACACGGCCCAGACUCCUACGGGAGGCAGCAGUGGGGAAUAUUGGACAAUGGGGGCAACCCUGAUCCAGCAAUGCCGCGUGAGUGAUGAAGGCCUUAGGGUUGUAAAGCUCUUUCGCCCGCGACGAUGAUGACGGUAGCGGGAGAAGAAGUCCCGGCUAACUCGUGCCAGCAGCCGC
rnacentral:rRNA from 1 species